GGGAAAAAAAAAAACAAAAACAGAAAAAAAAAAAAAAAUAAAGUGGUGGAUGUAGUUUCUUUUUCAAGAGCUAUGAUUGUACUAGCCCUGGGUAGUUGAUGAGGUUUCCUGUACUAGGCAUGGUUUCCCUCUUGUUAGAGAGCUGUUGGUUAUCACCAAGAUGUGCAUCCCACUGUCUGAAUCUUGGGGUUAUCGCAACAUGCUGGUUGUUGCUGUGAGUCAUAGUUGUCAUAGCUGAGUAGGACUUUUGCUGGUUUCCUUCUUUUGGAAGCUUGCCUGGUGUUUUCUGGUACUAUGAAAGUCCUCAGGGAGGAGGCUUUCAGGUUAGCUCCAGCUCACAGACCCUUGGCGCUGUGUCUACAGUAUAUGGUGUCUUCAAUAGGUCUCUUGCAUCAGUGGUUAAGAGCACUGACUGCUCUUCCAGAGGUCCUGAGUUCAAUUCCAAGCAACCACAUGGUGGCUCACAACCAUCUGUAAUGAGAUCUGAUGCCCUCUUCGGGUGUGUCUGAAGACAGCUACAGUGUACUUAUAUACAAUAAAUAAAUAAAAUCUUAAAAAAAAAAGAA
rnacentral:lncRNA from 1 species